rnacentral:rRNA from 1 species
GUGCACGCUGGCGGUAGGCCUAACACAUGCAAGUCGAACGGCAGCACAGUAAGAGCUUGCUCUUACGGGUGGCGAGUGGCGGACGGGUGAGGAAUACAUCGGAAUCUACUUUUUCGUGGGGGAUAACGUAGGGAAACUUACGCUAAUACCGCAUACGACCUACGGGUGAAAGCAGGGGAUCUUCGGACCUUGCGCGAUUGAAUGAGCCGAUGUCGGAUUAGCUAGUUGGCGGGGUAAAGGCCCACCAAGGCGACGAUCCGUAGCUGGUCUGAGAGGAUGAUCAGCCACACUGGAACUGAGACACGGUCCAGACUCCUACGGGAGGCAGCAGUGGGGAAUAUUGGACAAAGGGCGCAAGCCUGAUCCAGCCAUACCACGUGGGUGAACAAGGCCUUCGGGUUGUAAAGCCCUUUUGUUGGGAAAGAAAAGCAGCAGGUUAAUACCCCGCUGUUCUGACGGUACCCAAAGAAUAAGCACCGGCUAACUUCGUG